GUGUUUUCUACUUUAAUAACUUGUGCUCUUUCCACAUGGGGGCCCAGUGUACAAUGGCUGCAAACGGUAGUCUCCUUGAUAGUGUAUGCAGCCUGUUGAUUGAAUGGGUUGCCCCAAGAGAUCUUGGAGACAGCC
ensembl:snoRNA SNORA70 Small nucleolar RNA SNORA70